rnacentral:rRNA from 1 species
AUUGAACGCUGGCGGCAGGCCUAACACAUGCAAGUCGAACGGUAACAGGAAGAAGCUUGCUUCUUUGCUGACGAGUGGCGGACGGGUGAGUAAUGUCUGGGAAACUGCCUGAUGGAGGGGGACAACUACUGGAAACGGUAGCUAAUACCGCAUAACGUCGCAAGACCAAAGAGGGGGACCUUCGGGCCUCUCGCCAUCGGCUGUGCCCAGGUGGGAUUAGCUAGUAGGUGGGGUAACGGCUCACCUAGGCGACGAUCCCUAACUGGUCUGAGAGGAUGACCAGCCACACUGGAACUGAGACACGGUCCAGACUCCUACGGGAGGCAGCAGUGGGGAAUAUUGCACAAAGGGCGCAAGCCUGAUGCAGCCAUGCCGCGUGUAUGAAGAAGGCCUUCGGGUUGUAAAGUACUUUCAGCGGGGAGGAAGGGAGUAAAGUUAAUACCUUUGCUCAUUGACGUUACCAGCAGAAGAAGCACCGGCUAACUCCGUG